rnacentral:rRNA from 1 species
CGCCCCCAGGGUAAAAUUCAAUGAAAUGGAGGGGGGCCCGCCCAACCGGUGGACCAUGUGGUUAAUUUGGAUCCAACGGGAGGACCCUACCUUACUCUGGCCAUCCAGGGAUUUCGCAAAAGAUAGCUUAGGCCUUUCGGGAACUUUAAGCCGGUUGCGCCAGGCCGGUGGCCAGCUCGUGUUGGGAAAGGUGGGGUUAAUUCCCGCACGGGGCCCAACCUUUUCCCUUGGUUCCAACCGGUUCGGCCGGGAACUCAAAGGAGACUGCCGGUGAUAAACCGGAGGAAGGUGGGGAUGACGUCAAGUCAUCAUGGCCCUUACGAGUAGGGCUACACACGUGCUACAAUGGCGCAUACAAAGAGAAGCGACCUCGCGAGAGCAAGCGGACCUCAUAAAGUGCGUCGUAGUCCGGAUCGGAGUCUGCAACUCGACUCCGUGAAGUCGGAAUCGCUAGUAAUCGUAGAUCAGAAUGCUACGGUGAAUACGUUCCCGGGCCUUGUACACACCGCCCGUCACACCAUGGGAGUGGGUUGCACACAAGAAGUAGGUAGUCUUAACCUUCGGGAGGGCGCUACCAC